GGAAGAAGGAAUCAGGAGGCAGAGCACAUGGUUAAAGCAUGAGAUGUGAAACCAGGAAGAACCAGGUCUGAAUCUUAGCUCCACCAGUGGUAGCUCCAAACCUUAGUCCUUUCUGAGCCUGCUUCUUCAACCCUAAGGAAUUCGGAAACGGGACCCAGAAAGUUGUUUCCUGCAAGUGGCUGGAACAACACAAGCAAUAAUUCUCUGCAUCUUAAUUCCCUCAUCUGUAAAAUGGAAAUAAUACACCUACCUUCUCAGUUUACUGUGAGGAAAAAAUGAAUCAACACAUAUAUAAAGCACCUGGCACAGUGCGUGGCAUAUGAGGUUCCUUGGGAAUUCCUUCAGAAGUUAAAUAGUUUACCCAAGGUGUCACAACUACGUAAGGUGGCCCAGCUCAAGAUUCAAAUGCAAGUUCAUAUG
rnacentral:antisense_RNA from 1 species